rnacentral:rRNA from 1 species
CAUGCAAGUCGAACGAGAGAGAAGGAGCUUGCUUCUUCGAUCGAGUGGCGAACGGGUGAGUAACGCGUGAGGAACCUGCCUCAAAGAGGGGGACAACAGUUGGAAACGACUGCUAAUACCGCAUAAGCCCACGGGUCGGCAUCGACCUGAGGGAAAAGGAGCAAUCCGCUUUGAGAUGGCCUCGCGUCCGAUUAGCUAGUUGGUGAGGUAAUGGCCCACCAAGGCGACGAUCGGUAGCCGGACUGAGAGGUUGAACGGCCACAUUGGGACUGAGACACGGCCCAGACUCCUACGGGAGGCAGCAGUGGGGAAUAUUGCACAAUGGGGGAAACCCUGAUGCAGCGACGCCGCGUGGAGGAAGAAGGUCUUCGGAUUGUAAACUCCUGUUGUUGAGGAGGAUAAUGACGGUACUCAACAAGGAAGUGACGGCUAACUACGUGCCAGCAGCCGCGGUAAAACGUAGGUCACAAGCGUUGUCCGGAAUUACUGGGUGUAAAGGGAGCGCAGGCGGGAAGACAAGUUGGAAGUGAAAUCUAUGGGCUCAACCCAUAAACUGCUUUCAAAACUGUUUUUCUUGAGUAGUGCAGAGGUAGGCGGAAUUCCCGGUGUAGCGGUGGAAUGCGUAGAUAUCGGGAGGAACACCAGUGGCGAAGGCGGCCUACUGGGCACCAACUGACGCUGAGGCUCGAAAGUGUGGGUAGCAAACAGGAUUAGAUACCCUGGUAGUCCACACCGUAAACGAUGAUUACUAGGUGUUGGAGGAUUGACCCCUUCAGUGCCGCAGUUAACACAAUAAGUAAUCCACCUGGGGAGUACGACCGCAAGGUUGAA